GACGAACGCUGGCGGCGUGCUUAACACAUGCAAGUCGAACGGAAAGGCCCUGCUUUUGUGGGGUGCUCGAGUGGCGAACGGGGGAGUAACACGUGAGUAACCUGCCCUUGACUUUGGGAUAACUUUAGGAAACUGGGGCUAAUACCGGAUAGGAGCUCCUGCUGCCUGGUGGGGGGUGGGAAGUUUCGGCGGUUGGGGAUGGACUCGCGGCUUAUCAGCUUGUUGGUGGGGUAGUGGCUUACCAAGGCUUUGACGGGUAGCCGGCCUGAGAGGGUGACCGGCCACAUUGGGACUGAGAUACGGCCCAGACUCCUACGGGAGGCAGCAGUGGGGAAUAUUGCACAAUGGGCGGAAGCCUGAUGCAGCAACGCCGCGUGCGGGAUGACGGCCUUCGGGUUGUAAACCGCUUUCGCCUGUGACGAAGCGUGAGUGACGGUAAUGGGUAAAGAAGCACCGGCUAACUACGUG
rnacentral:rRNA from 1 species